CACGGAGUUAGCCGGAGCUUAUUCUCCCGGUACUGUCAUUAUCAUCCCGGGUAAAAGAGCUUUACAACCCUAAGGCCUUCAUCACUCGCGCGGCAUUGCUGGAUCAGGCUUUCGCCCAUUGUCCAAUAUUCCCCACUGCUGCCUCCCGUAGGAGUCUGGGCCGUGUCUCAGUCCCAGUGUGGCUGAUCAUCCUCUCAGACCAGCUACGGAUCGUCGCCUUGGUAGGCCUUUACCCCACCAACUAGCUAAUCCGACGCGGGCUCAUCCUCUGGCGAUAAAUCUUUGGACUUACGUCAUCAUCCGGUAUUAGCUGUCGUUUCCAACAGUUAUCCCAGACCAAAGGGCAGAUUCCCACGCGUUACGCACCCGUGCGCCACUAUGCCCGAAAGCAUCGUUCGACUUGCAUGUGUUAGGCAUGCCGCCAGCGUUCGUUCUGAGCCAGGAUCAAACUCU
rnacentral:rRNA from 1 species